ACUUGCAGACCCCUCAUUUUUCACUGCACAAACACGAAUUGGGGUGGCCGUGAUGGCUGGCCGCAAGCGUGCAACGGCGCACCCAAGAGUACCUAUUAUGCGACGUACCUCUAACUGGUGGAUGGCCCGGUACAAAUUUGGAUUAGCCCCCCAUGGUAUGUAAAAGUAGCAUCACUUUUACAUUAAAAUUACAGGUGGUAAUAGAUGAGUUUUUUGUCCCAUUAGUUAGUUGGUAAGGUAACGGCUUACCAAGGCAGCGAUGGGUAGGGGUCCUGAGAGGGAGAUCCCCCACACUGGUACUGAGACACGGACCAGACUCCUACGGGAGGCAGCAGUGAGGAAUAUUGGACAAUGGAGGCAACUCUGAUCCAGCCAUGCCGCGUGCAGGAAGACUGCCCUAUGGGUUGUAAACUGCUUUUACAGAGGAAGAACCGCACCCACGUGUGGGUGUUUGACGGUACUCUGCGAAUAAGGAUCGGCUAACUCCGUGCCAGCAGCCGCGGUAAUACGGAGGAUCCAAGCGUUAUCCGGAAUCAUUGGGUUUAAAGGGUCCGUAGGCGGGACAAUAAGUCAGUGGUGAAAGUCUGCAGCUCAACUGUAGAACUGCCAUUGAAACUGUAGUCCUUGAGUCAUUAUGAAGUGGUAGAAUGAGUAGUGUAGCGGUGAAAUGCAUAGAUAUUACUCAGAAUCCGAUUGCGAAGGCAGGUACUAUUAUGACUGACCUGUGGACA
rnacentral:rRNA from 1 species